UUAUAGUUUUCAUAACUUGCUGAGAAAUACGACUACAAUACCCGAUAGCUCCUCGCAACUCCUUCCUUCUUGCGCAAGAGUCAAUUUUCUGUGCUUAUUUCUUUUCUCUCUUCAGGGCUAUGUGGAUGGUAUACCUCUCUCAAGUGUUCACGGGGGUAGGCAUGGCCGCUCAAUUUGUUUGUGGUUAUUGUCACGCACUACAACACGCUGUGAUACGAGGAUAUCCGAAUGAUAUAAAAACAACGUCUUUCAUUUCCACCGUCGUUAUCACAAGUCUUGUGCUCGGAGCUACAAUGACGCCUCCGAUUGCUGGAUACCUUGUCGAAAGGUUUGGAUAUAGGAGUGGGUCUAUGUUCAUGUUCGGACUUCUUGUACUAUGGACCCCAGUUACAUUCAUUCAGUGGAUGGCAUCGUCCUGCAGCAGGCGACGCAAGCAGCAGUGUGGUAUUACAACGGAUUCUCGCACCUGUUGACCUCUAUUUUAUAGUGGUUCCAACGCAAAUUCUACCGGUAUGGUCCGUUGUACAACGCCAGCCAUGCAACGCGCCCCCACGUACAAACAACUCAUGUGUAUUUUGAGCUAGAACAAUAAGGCGCCCCGAGGAACUUGAUUUUUUAAAGCGAAGCUUCCUUCACCUACUAUUCCAUGGUUUCCCCUAGGUCGGUCGCUGGUCGGGUUCUCGCCGGAUAAAUUGGCAUUAACUUAGAUUCGCAUAUACUUUUAACAAAUGAAGCGCGUGCGGCACAGGGAGACAAGCCUGUGCCUUUUAUUAGCGUUCAGUUUCUUCUCUCUCGGGCAUUUGUGCAUGUGUGCUAGAUCUAACCCUGGGGGUGUUAGCCAGCGCCACUCACGGCCAAUGCGGCGGAUGUGAAGCAUCCUUUUAACCACAUGCAUCACGUAGUACGUAAGUUUCGGAGGGGACCAUAAACCCUCCUACAUUCCCUCAUGGAAUCGAAACUGUAUAAUUGAAAGCUCUUGCUAUGCAACGAGCUAAAAGAAUAAGGGUAUUUUUCGAGAAAUCAUAUAGGAAUCGAAUUAUAUAGAGGAAAUCAUUUGUUAUGCUUCUUUAGAGUAACAACGGAACUAGCAGGACCUUUCGUUACGGUUGGUUACUUUCUGUUGGCAAAGUGAUACUGACAGCUUGCGCUACUACAUCCAUAGAAAAAGGUUUACAAAAUUUUCAGUUUUAUUACUGUUUCACUGGAGAAAGAUAUGGUCCCAUCGGAACAGCGUUGCACUA